rnacentral:rRNA from 1 species
AGAGUUUGAUCCUGGCUCAGGAUGAACGCUAGCUACAGGCUUAACACAUGCAAGUCGAGGGGCAGCAUGGUCUUAGCUUGCUAAGGCCGAUGGCGACCGGCGCACGGGUGAGUAACACGUAUCCAACCUGCCGUCUACUCUUGGACAGCCUUCUGAAAGGAAGAUUAAUACAAGAUGGCAUCAUGAGUCCGCAUGUUCACAUGAUUAAAGGUAUUCCGGUAGACGAUGGGGAUGCGUUCCAUUAGAUAGUAGGCGGGGUAACGGCCCACCUAGUCUUCGAUGGAUAGGGGUUCUGAGAGGAAGGUCCCCCACAUUGGAACUGAGACACGGUCCAAACUCCUACGGGAGGCAGCAGUGAGGAAUAUUGGUCAAUGGGCGAGAGCCUGAACCAGCCAAGUAGCGUGAAGGAUGACUGCCCUAUGGGUUGUAAACUUCUUUUAUAAAGGAAUAAAGUCGGGUAUGGAUACCCGUUUGCAUGUACUUUAUGAAUAAGGAUCGGCUAACUCCGUGCCAGCAGCCGCGGUAAUACGGAGGAUCCGAGCGUUAUCCGGAUUUAUUGGGUUUAAAGGGAGCGUAGAUGGAUGUUUAAGUCAGUUGUGAAAGUUUGCGGCUCAACCGUAAAAUUGCAGUUGAUACUGGAUAUCUUGAGUGCAGUUGAGGCAGGCGGAAUUCGUGGUGUAGCGGUGAAAUGCUUAGAUAUCACGAAGAACUCCGAUUGCGAAGGCAGCCUGCUAAGCUGCAACUGACAUUGAGGCUCGAAAGUGUGGGUAUCAAACAGGAUUAGAUACCCUGGUAGUCCACACGGUAAACGAUGAAUACUCGCUGUUUGCGAUAUACUGCAAGCGGCCAAGCGAAAGCGUUAAGUAUUCCACCUGGGGAGUACGCCGGCAACGGUGAAACUCAAAGGAAUUGACGGGGGCCCGCACAAGCGGAGGAACAUGUGGUUUAAUUCGAUGAUACGCGAGGAACCUUACCCGGGCUUAAAUUGCAGAUGAAUUACGGUGAAAGCCGUAAGCCGCAAGGCAUCUGUGAAGGUGCUGCAUGGUUGUCGUCAGCUCGUGCCGUGAGGUGUCGGCUUAAGUGCCAUAACGAGCGCAACCCUUGUUGUCAGUUACUAACAGGUUCCGCUGAGGACUCUGACAAGACUGCCAUCGUAAGAUGUGAGGAAGGUGGGGAUGACGUCAGAUCAGCACGGCCCUUACGUCCGGGGCUACACACGUGUUACAAUGGGGGGUACAGAGGGCCGCUACCACGCGAGUGGAUGCCAAUCCCCAAAACCUCUCUCAGUUCGGACUGGAGUCUGCAACCCGACUCCACGAAGCUGGAUUCGCUAGUAAUCGCGCAUCAGCCACGGCGCGGUGAAUACGUUCCCGGGCCUUGUACACACCGCCCGUCAAGCCAUGGGAGCCGGGGGUACCUGAAGUGCGUAACCGCGAGGAGCGCCCUAGGGUAAAACUGGUGACUGGGGCUAAGUCGUAACAAGGUAGCC